CAGAAACCAAUAAAAAGGAUUCUUUGGAUGGUACCCAUAUACACGUUACAUAUUUCAAAGCUAUGAAAUAUCUUUGAAAUAUCUCAGCAUUGCAAUAUGUAGAUACCUGCAGAGAAUGUUAUGAAGCUUAUGUCAUUUACAACUUUAUGGGAUUCCUUACCAAUUAUCUAACUAACUGGUAUCCAAAUCGGGUAUUAAUUCUUGAAGCCAAAGAUCAGCAGAAACAUUUCCCUCCUUUAUGUUGUGGUCCACCAUGGACUAUGGGAAAAGUAUUGCUGUUUCGGUGCAAACUGGGUGUACUGCAGUAUACAGUUACCAAACCAUUCACCACCAUUGUUGCUUUAAUCUGUGAGCUGCUUGGUAUAUAUGAUGAAGGAAACUAGCUUUUCAAAUGCUUGGACUUACUUGGUUAUAAUAAACAACAUGUCACAAUUCUUUGCCAUGUAUCUUCUGCUGCUAUUUUAUAAAGUACUGAAGGAAGAGUUGGGUCCAAUUCAACCUGUUGGCAAAUUUCUUUUUGUAAAGCUGGUGGCUUUUGUUUCCUUUUGGCAAGCAGUCGUUAUCGCUUUGUUGGUUAAAGUUGGCGUUAUUUCUGAAAAGCAUACAUGGGAAUGGCAAACUGUAGAAGCUGUGGCUACAGGACUCCAGGACUUUAUCAUCUGUAUUGAGAUGUUCCUUGCUACUAUUGCUCAUCACUACACUUUCUCAUAUCAACCAUAGGUCUAAGAAGCAGAAGAGGGUCAUGCUUUGAUUCCUUUCUUGCCAUGUGGGAUGGUUCAGAUAUUAGGGAUGAUAUUUCUGAGCAAGUAAGGCAUGUUGGAUGGACAGUCAUGGGACAUUCUAGGAAGAAGUUCUUUCCUGAGGACCAAGAUCAAAAUGAACAUACAAGCUUGCUACCAUCAUCAUCACAAGAUGCAAUUUCUGUUGCCUCUUCUGUACCACCUUCACCCAUGGGUCACUACCAAGGGUUUGCACACACUGUGACUCCCCAGAUCGGAAGAGUACUACAGGAAGGGAAAGAGAGAGAUAGAGGAGG